rnacentral:lncRNA from 1 species
AAAAAAAUGUACCCUAGCUGAAAGUAGCAUCUCAAAUAUACAAUAGAACUGUUCUCAAUUCUAUUUCACUCAUAAAACUUGAAGGUUGAGAACGAGAUUAUAUCGAUCACCUCUAUAUCAAAGUACUACUAUAUAUACCGACUGAAAAAUAUGCACAGUGUCACAGACUUUCAGUACCUAAAGUUAAAUGUAAAUCCCGUAAGUAGUCAGUACUUUAAUAAGACAGCAACCAGACAACAACACAAGGCCAAAAGAAAAUUAAAAAGGAAAAGGCAUCUUAUGAUAUGCAUUUGACGGGGUGGGGUGGGGGCUGCAGGGGUCCUGAUCCCGAAAUCCCGGACUUAAAAACAUGAAAUCCCGAGGUCCCG